rnacentral:rRNA from 1 species
AUGGCGACUACUGGCGGCGGCGGCGGUGGCCGUCUCCGCGUCCCGGCCGGCGGCGGCGACCCUAACGGCGGAGGCGGCGAUGGGCGAGUCCGACAGAGGCUGUUGUAUGAGGGCGGCGAGGAGGAGCAGUGCAGCAUUGUCGUCGAUUCAGAGCAGUUCCCGUUGCUACAGUCAGCGUUGCCGUCGCUAGCCGAAUCGCAGAGAGCUUGGUCGUCGGCGGGCAACACCUCCAGCGAUAAUCCGUUCAGCCACUACGUCUCCGAUGGCGGGCAAGAAUCUGAGAUUUGGGAGCUGUUUAUUCAAUUUGAUGGUGCCAAAUUUGUUCAAAAAUCAAUGGAACGUUCAGAUGUUAGAUAUCUCAAUUUGCUGUCAGUAAUGGAGAAGGAAGGAUAUGGCUUAUGUGAUUCAAUGUACUAUGUUAAAGAUGAAGGGGAGGGGCUGCAAGGGCUAGAUUUAGUAGAUAGCCAAGUUAAGGUGGAUGAGAUGAUUAGGAAGUAUGAUAGCAGCAAGAAAUUGGUACUGACAGUGAUGAGGGACAAAAGGAAACAAGCUGAUAUUGCUAAAUCAUAUCCAAGUUUCAUUGAUCUAGAGGCAGGGGUGGACCAGUCCAUUCCUUAUCAGCCCAGCGCUCACCAGUUCAGUACACAAAAUAGUGUUAUAUGUGAGAAUGUGCAAACUCAAAUUGAUGAAAAUCCUUUUCCUGAAGAAGAUGAUGGAGAGGCAUCUGAUGAUAGCUACAUUUGCUGGGAUGAACGACAGUGUGAUCCAGUGUAUGCAGAGGAGAAGAGCAGGAAAGAGGAAGAGGAACUGAAGGCAACUAUUGCAGAGAUGAACAGGAAGAGAGAAGACCCCAUGCUGCACUAUGAGGGUGAGACAGAUGUUGAGGACAUUUUUGUCAAUGAUGAUGAAAGUUUUGAACAAAUUCCACCAGAGCAGCCUGUGAAGAAGAAAGUAAAGAGGUCGGGUCUUACACUGAGAUCACACUCUCAAGUAGUGAUACCUGAUAUUCCAGAUUGGGAUCCUUCUGAUGAUGAAGAGGAAGUUGGUUUUAUGAAAGAGGAAGAUGAUGAUGGAUUUGAGCCACUUCCUUUUGUGCUGCCUAAAGGAAGAAAAUCAAGAGCAAAGAAACAAAAAGAAAGGGUCUGGUCAGAUCCCAAUACUGUCAUCACUACUAUAGUUGACAAAGCCAAAAUAGAUUUCAUGGAGGAAGUGCCAAAGAGGAUGGCCUAUAGGGAAAAGACCAAAGCCAGGAACAUGGUACUGGGUGAUCAUAAGAAGCAAUACCACAGAAUCAGGGAUUAUCUGCAAACUGUAAUAGAUAAAAAUCCUGGCUCUAGAUGUAUUGUCACCACAGUCACUGGCCCAACCGAGGAACAGUUGGAAGCAAUGAAGAAAGGAGAACAUGUUGACAUAAGCUACCAGCCAAGAUUGCAUGAGCAGCUGAAGUAUGCUUUAGGUGGAGAACAGGGCAAAUUUGGCUACUACACAAUAAUGUCUGACAAGCAGAAGGGUCUACUUACAGCAGUGAGCACAGUGUUUCCUAACUGUCCACAGAGAUUCUGCAUUAGGCACAUAUAUGACAACUUUCAAACUGCAGGCUUUAGAGGUGAAGAUCUAAAGAAGUGUAUGGACAAUGCUGCCUACUCUUGGACUAGGCAUGGAUAUGAUCUUGCAAUGGAAGAACUGAAGAAGCAAUGUGAGCCAGCUUGGGUCUGGUUGUCCAAGAUUCAUGUGCACAAUUGGGCAAGGUACAUCCUUGAUGUAAGGAGCAAACCAAUUGCUACAAUGCUUAUAGGAAUUUAUGACAAGCUAAUGGUGAGAUUUGAUGGAAAGAGGGAAGGAGCGGCAAAGGCUAGAUGGGACAUUACACCAUAUUAUACAGAGAGGCUAGAGCUGAUGAAAACAUAUUCCAGAAAUUGUAUUCCUAAGAGGGCUGACCUUGGACUGUGGCAGGUAAAGAGUGGUGAUGCAACACAUCAGGCUAGUAGAUCAAUGCCUACUCCUGUGCCUCCUCCAUCUUCCUCCAGUUCUGCUGCUGCACCUGCACCAAGGCCUCCUCCUGCUGCUCCAAGAAACCCUACAGCUGCAUUUGCUGCUCCAAGGACUCCAUUUGCUGCUCCAAGAUAUACUGGUUUCAGGUCAUAUUUUUCAGCUGGUGCAAACGCCGGUGUUGGUAGAGAUGCAAAUGUGCCUCCUCUAGCUGGAAUUUCUUCUGCACGCCCUAGUUGUUCUGAUGUUCAGUGA